rnacentral:sRNA from 1 species
AAUCACAGAUAAUUUAUACAAUUAUAUUUUUCCCCCAGGUCCAUGUGAAAAAAUUCAUGAUGAAAAUCUACGAAAACAAUAUGAGAAGAGCUCUCGUUUCAUGAAAGUUGGCUAUGAGAGAGAUUUUCUGCGAUACUUACAGAGCUUACUUGCAGAAGUAGAACGUAGGAUCAGACGAGGCCAUGCUCGUUUGGCAUUAUCUCAAAACCAGCAGUCUUCUGGGGCCGCUGGCCCAACAGGCAAAAAUGAAGAAAAAAUUCAGGUUCUAACAGACAAAAUUGAUGUACUUCUGCAACAGAUUGAAGAAUUAGGGUCUGAAGGAAAAGUAGAAGAAGCCCAGGGGAUGAUGAAAUUAGUUGAGCAAUUAAAAGAAGAGAGAGAACUGCUAAGGUCCACAACCUCGACAAUUGAAAGCUUUGCUGCACAAGAAAAACAAAUGGAAGUUUGUGAAGUGUGUGGCGCCUUUUUAAUAGUAGGAGAUGCCCAGUCGCGGGUAGAUGACCAUUUGAUGGGAAAACAACACAUGGGCUAUGCCAAAAUUAAAGCUACUGUAGAAGAAU